rnacentral:rRNA from 1 species
GACGAACGCUGGCGGCGUGCCUAAUACAUGCAAGUCGAGCGGACUUUCAAGAAGCUUGCUUUUGAAAGUUAGCGGCGGACGGGUGAGUAACACGUGGGCAACCUGCCUGUAAGACGGGGAUAACUCCGGGAAACCGGGGCUAAUACCGGAUAAUAUCUUUCUUCGCAUGAAGGAAGGUUGAAAGGCGGCGCAAGCUGCCGCUUGCAGAUGGGCCCGCGGCGCAUUAGCUAGUUGGUGAGGUAACGGCUCACCAAGGCGACGAUGCGUAGCCGACUUGGGAGGGUGAUCGGCCACACUGGGACUGAGACACGGCCCAGACUCCUACGGGAGGCAGCAGUAGGGAAUCUUCCGCAAUGGACGAAAGUCUGACGGAGCAACGCCGCGUGAGCGAAGAAGGUCUUCGGAUCGUAAAGCUCUGUUGUCAGGGAAGAACAAGUACCGUUCGAAUAGGGCGGUACCUUGACGGUACCUGACCAGAAAGCCACGGCUAACUACGUGCCAGCAGCCGCCGUAA